rnacentral:sRNA from 2 species
AGCUACCACGCGCAAACGCCGGUUCCUGUGCGCCAUCCGCACCCACCUGACGACUGCUCGCUACGUUUUGUUAGCC